rnacentral:rRNA from 1 species
AUUGAACGCUGGCGGCAUGCCUUACACAUGCAAGUCGAACGGUAACAGGUCUUCGGAUGCUGACGAGUGGCGAACGGGUGAGUAAUACAUCGGAACGUGCCCGAUCGUGGGGGAUAACGAGGCGAAAGCUUUGCUAAUACCGCAUACGAUCUACGGAUGAAAGCGGGGGAUCUUCGGACCUCGCGCGGACGGAGCGGCCGAUGGCAGAUUAGGUAGUUGGUGGGAUAAAAGCUUACCAAGCCGACGAUCUGUAGCUGGUCUGAGAGGAUGAUCAGCCACACUGGGACUGGAACACGGCCCAGGCUCCUGCGGGAGGGAGCAGUGGGGAAUUUUGGACAAUGGGCGAAAGCCUGAUCCAGCCAUGCCGCGUGCAGUAUGGAGGCCUUUGGGUUGUAAUGUGGUUUUGUACGGAGCGAAAAGCCUCUUUCUAAUAAAGAGGGGUCAUGACGGUACCGUAAGAAUAAGCACCGGCUAACUACGUG